GGACAGCGAUGAAAAUCACGAACAAAACACACCAUCUUUGGGGACUGAUUGGUGCUCUCUCUGUGCCAUCCUGUGAAAGUCUACAAUUCUGAUGUCC
rfam:Triticum aestivum genome assembly, contig: Triticum_aestivum_CS42_TGACv1_scaffold_162772_2DL